CACGUAGGCGGCCUGGUAAGUCAGAUGUGAAAGCCCGGGGCUUAACCCCGGAAGUGCAUUUGAUACUGUCAGGCUUGAGUAUGGGAGAGGGAAGUGGAAUUCCUGGUGUAGAGGUGAAAUUCGUAGAUAUCAGGAGGAACACCGGUGGCGAAGGCGACUUCCUGGACUAAUACUGACGCUGAGGUGCGAAGGCGUGGGUAGCAAACAGGAUUAGAUACCCUGGUAGUCC
rnacentral:rRNA from 1 species